rnacentral:ncRNA from 1 species
UUCCCCCACGGAGAUGGCAUGCCUCCGACAACCGCCGCGCCCGCGCGGCUGAUGAUGCCUACGCAACA